rnacentral:rRNA from 1 species
UACGAAGGGUGCAAACGUUGCUCGGAAUUAUUGGGCGUAAAGCGCACGUAGGCGGCUUCGUAAGUUGGAUGUGAAAGCCCUCGGCUCAACCAAGGAAGUGCAUCCAAAACUACAGAGCUUGAGUACUUAAGAGGAUCGCGGAAUUCCCGGUGUAGAGGUGAAAUUCGUAGAUAUCGGGAGGAACACCAGUGGCGAAGGCGGCGAUCUGGGAAGAUACUGACGCUGAGGUGCGAAAGCGUGGGGAGCGAACAGG